rnacentral:rRNA from 1 species
UACGUAGGGUCCGAGCGUUGUCCGGAAUUACUGGGCGUAAAGAGCUCGUAGGUGGUUUGUCGCGUUGUCCGUGAAAACUCACAGCUCAACUGUGGGCGUGCGGGCGAUACGGGCAGACUGGAGUACUGCAGGGGAGACUGGAAUUCCUGGUGUAGCGGUGGAAUGCGCAGAGUAUCAGGAGGAACACCGGUGGCGAAGGCGGGUCUCUGGGCAUUAACUGACGCUGGAGGAGCGAAAGCAUGGGGAGCGAACAGG